rnacentral:rRNA from 1 species
GACAAAAUAAAUAUUGUCUCUUUCUAUUAAAAUAAUGAACUUGACUUUUAAGUGAAGAGGCUUAAAUUAUAACAGAAAGACGAUAAGACCCUAUAAAGCUUUUAUAUUUGUAAUUUAGAUUUAAAAAAUUAAGGUAAUUGUAAAACUUUAAAAUAUAUUUAAUCUACUGGGGCGGUACAUAAAUAAUUAUUAUUUAACUUUAUGAAAGUUAAAACUUUUCAUAUAUGAUAGGUUAAUUGAUUCUUGCAUUAAAGAUUAAAAGUAAAAGUUACUUUAGGGAUAACAGCGUUAUUUUAUUUGAGAGUUCAUAUCGAAAAAAGAGAUUGCGACCUCGAUGUUGAAUUAAAACUUCUGUUUAGUGUAGCCGUUAAACUAGGAAGGUCUGUUCGACC